UAGGGAAUAUUGCACAAUGGGGGAAACCCUGAUGCAGCGACGCCGCGUGAGUGAUGAAGGCCUUCGGGUCGUAAAGCUCUGUUGUAAGGGAAUAAAAAAAUGAAGGUACCUUAUAAGAAAGGAUCGGCUAACUUCGUGCCAGCAGCCGCGGUAAGACGAGGGAUCCUAGCGUUGUUCGGAAUCAUUGGGCGUAAAGAGUAUGUAGGCGGCCUUGUAAGUCAGUUGUGAAAGCCCCGGGCUCAACCCGGGAAGUGCAAUUGAUACUGCUUGGCUUGAAUGUGGAAGAGGGCAGUAGAAUUCCAGGUGUAGUGGUGAAAUACGUAGAUAUCUGGAGGAAUACCGGUGGCGAAGGCGGCUGCCUGGUCCUACAUUGACGCUGAGAUACGAAAGCGUGGGGAGCAAACAG
rnacentral:rRNA from 1 species